GGUUGACCGUCGGAUCAGGUA
rnacentral:rRNA from 1 species